rnacentral:rRNA from 1 species
ACGGAAUAGAUACCCAGGUAGUCCUGGCAGUAAACGGUGCACGUUUGGUGUGGGCGCAAUCGACCGCGUCCGCGCCGGAGCUAAACGCGUUAAACGUGCCGCCUGGGAAGUACGGUCGCAAGAUUAAAACUCAAAGAAAUUGACGGGGACCCGCACAAGCGGUGGAGUAUGUGGCUUAAUUCGAUGCAACGCGAAGAACCUUACCUGGUCUUGACAUGCAUUGUGUCUCCGGUGAAAGCCGGAUAGGGUAGCAAUACCCGCUUUGCACAGGUGCUGCAUGGCUGUCGUCAGCUCGUGUCGUGAGAUGUUGGGCUAAGUCCCGCAACGAGCGCAACCCCUGUGAUUUGUUGCCACCGGCUUAUGCCGAGCACUCGAAUCAGACUGCCUCGAUCAACGAGGAGGAAGGUGGGGAUGACGUCAAGUCCGUAUGGCCCUUACGACCAGGGCUGCACACGUACUACAAUGCCCAGUACAAUGUGAACCGAGACCGCGAGGUGGAGGAAAUCAAUAAAACUGGGCUCAGUU